AGCGUGCUCAGAAAAAAUUAUAAGGCAAGGCAAGGAAAAAUUCAGAGUAAUCACGUGUGUCUAUGUGUGAAUAGACUACUCAGGAGACACACAGGCUAUCAAAAACUCAAGCACUGGAUGAAGACGGUGUGGGCUUUUUAUGCAAUGGAAUACUACUCUGUCAUAAAGAAGGAUAAACUCAAGACAUUUCUAGGUAAAUAGUUGUGCCUUGA
rnacentral:lncRNA from 1 species